rnacentral:rRNA from 1 species
CACGUAGGGGGCAAGCGUUGUCCGGAUUUAUUGGGCGUAAAGAGCUCGUAGGUGGUUCGGUAAGUCGGGUGUUAAACCCCCAGGCUCAACCUGGGGACGCCACUCGAUACUGCUGUGACUAGAGUCCGGUAGGGGAGCGUGGAAUUCCUGGUGUAGCGGUGAAAUGCGCAGAUAUCAGGAGGAACACCAGCGGCGAAGGCGGCGCUCUGGGCCGGUACUGACACUGAGAGCGAAGCGUGGUAGGCAAACAGG